rnacentral:rRNA from 1 species
AGUGGCAGACGGGUGAGUAACAUGUGGGAAUCUGCCUUGUGGUUCAGGACAACAUUGGGAAACCGAUGCUAAUACUGGAUAAGCCCUUACGGGGAAAGUUUUAAUGCCAUAAGAUGAGCCCGCAUUUGAUUAGUUAGUUGGUGAGGUAAUGGCUCACCAAGACAAUGAUCAAUAGCUGAUCUGAGAGGAUGAUCAGCCACACUGGGACUGAGACACGGCCCAGACUCCUACGGGAGGCAGCAGUGGGGAAUCUUGCACAAUGGAGGAAACUCUGAUGCAGCGAUGCCGCGUGAGUGAAGAAGGCCUUUGGGUUGUAAAGCUCUUUUGUAGGGGAAGAUAAUGACUGUACCCUAAGAAUAAGGUCCGGCUAACUUCGUGCCAGCAGCCGCGGUAAUACGAAGGGACCUAGCGUAGUUCGGAAUUACUGGGCGUAAAGCGCGCGUAGGCCGUUGAGUUAGUUAAUUGUGAAAUCCCAAAGCUUAACUUUGGAACUGCAAUUAAAACUGUUCGACUAGAGUUUGAUAGAGGAAAGCGGAAUACAUAGUGUAGAGGUGAAAUUCGUAGAUAUUAUGUAGAACACCAGUUGCGAAGGCGGCUUUCUGGAUCAACACUGACGCUGAGGCGCGAAAGUAUGGGUAGCAAAGAGGAUUAGAUACCCUCGUAGUCCAUACCAUAAACGAUGAUUGCUAGA